AACCCAGGAGAUAGAGGCUGUAGUGAGCUGAUACGGUGCCAUUGGACUCCAGCCUGGGAGACAGAGUGAGACUCCGUCUCAAAAAAAAUAAAUAAAUAAAAUAAACAAAAUAAUAAAUAAAAUAAAAAGCCCAAUAAAGAAUGUGAUUUUUAGCCGGGCACAGUGGCUCACACCUGUAAUCCCAACAUUUGGGAGGGUGAGGCAGGCAGAUCACUUGAGGUCAGCAGUUCGAGAUCAGCCCAGCCAACAUGGUGAAACCCCAUCUACUGAAAAUACAAAAAUUAGCUAGGCAUGGUGGCACGUGCCUGUAAUCCCAGCUACUCGAGAGGCUGAAGCAGGAGAAUCACUUGGUGAGACUCCAUCUGAAAACAAAAACAAAAACAAAACAAAAAAAUCUGUUGCAUUUGGCCGAUCGCUUUGGCUCAUGCCUGUAAUUUUUUUAGGAGCUGGGAUUACAGGCAUGCGCCACCAUGCCCGGCUAAUUUUUUUAUUUUUAGUAGAGACAUGGUUUUACCACUAAGUUCAGCUUUUGAUCGAAUAUAUUAUAAAAGAGGUUUAGUCAGAAAGACCAAAGCCCAUGUCAUCAUCAGAGUCCUCAAAUUCUUCUUUCUUUGCUUCCAUUUUCUUCUCCUCAGCUGGAGCAGCAGCAGUGGAGGUGGGCAACCAAGGCAGAAAUGGGCGUACGCAUGGAGGAAGAAUGGAGAGAGUAUGCGCAUUCUUGGCUGACCACGGUGGCUCAUGCCUAUUAUCCCAGCACUUAGGGAGGUUGAUGCGGGUGGAUCACCUCCUGCUGGUGCAGCACCAGCUGCUGGAGCAGGUCCUCCAGCCCCUACAUUGCAGAUGAGGCUCCUAAUGUUGACAUUGGCCGGGGCCUUUGCAAACAAGCCAGGCCGAAAAGGUUCAACAUUUACACCAGCUGCUUUAAUGAGGGCCUUGAUCUUAUACUCUGUGACAGUCACCUCAUUGUCGUGCAGAAUGAGGGCUGAGUAGAUGCAGGCGAGCUCGGAGGGGAUGGAUUUUAUCCAAAUGUCCCCCAAAAAGCGCUGUAGUCCCACCUGCGUACCCUCUGCCUUAGAACCUCAUCAAUGCUGGGGAUACUAACCCUUUAUAUUUUUCCCAAUGUGAAUGGAGAAUGUGAACAGGGCUUAAAGAAAAUGUAAACGGUACCUAAAAUGCAACCCUGUGGGGCUCUGAGUUGGCCGGCAGGGUCCUGUUUUCCCAGGUGGGAUGAAGUGGGGAGUGAAAGGGGAGUGAUUCUGGUCUUCAACAUGGGGAUUAUCCAUGCCAGCCCAGGAGCUAGAGAGGCAGGAGAAUGCAGUGGGAAGCUAGACUGUCUCAGUUCAAAUUUCAUGACCCACGAAUGGAUCUCAACCUACAACUGGAAAAACCCACUACUCUGGAGGAGCUGAUUCCGUACUCUGCUGGAUCUUCAAUUCCUGACCGCUGGAAAUUGGCUGCAAUUUUCCUGGUGAGUUCCUCCCUCCAUGUUCUCCUCACUAAUACACCCUACACCAGACCUCCAGUCCUAAAAGCCACCACCUGCUUCACGUCACCACACCUGUGCCAAUCAGAUUUCCUCUGUUCCCUCUUGGACCUUCAGGGACCUCCAGGAUAAAUGCCAGGAUCCCAGUUACUGGCAGACUGAGAGAAGGAUGACAGCCCCAAAAGAUCACGAGGUUCCUAUCUGUUCAUAUUUGGUGGGCAGCUUUCGUCUGCAAGAACAAAAUACAAGCCGGGUGAGGCGGCUCACAUCUGUAAUGCCAGUACUUUGGGAGGCCGAGGCAGGCGGAUCACCUGAUCCAGCCUGCUCUGGGCUCUUGUUACAGGUGAAUGUCACUCACUGGCAGCUCUCCCUGCUCCCCCCAGCACAGGGGUGAAAGUGGGCAGUAAUUCUGGGAUAAGGGACACUUUGAGGCAAGGUAAUCCCCUCCUGCCAGUCCCUGGAGGAGAGGAGGGGAGUGUGCCUCUGAGGCUCCCCAGCAGGGUGGGCACGCUUUCUCUUCCUGUCCUGUUCUCCAAGCCUCCUUGUGGGAAAAGUCCAUCAGCCCUUAGGGAGGGCCGGGCAUCACCUGGAGCUGGCGCUAGGGAGAGAGGCCAAGGCAGUCAAUGAAGAGCCUUGGUGGGCCCAGUGCUGAAGGAACGGUGGAAUAUUCUGGUCAUGAGUCAGUCAAAAAUGGCCAAGCUCCAGGCCUGGCGGUAGCCUUGGGGGUCUAUGUGUAGAAGAGAGGGUGGACAUGCCUGGGCCAGUUCUGGAUAAAGGCAGGGGAUGGGGAAAGCCAUCUGGGGCAACCACUGUCCCCCUGGCAUGGGAUUAAUGCCACUUAGAGGUGGAAAAGAGGCAGCAGCUGCCAUAUCCCAGGAAAGUCACUGACCUUUAGAACAGGAGACAGAAAUAGCCCUGGAGAGUUCAGAAUCCUGUGUGAGAGAGGUGGCCAGGCCAGGCAGGGCAGGCCCCAACAUGAGGAGGGGAGGAGAACCAUGUUAGUACCCACUGUGUCAGACAUGAUGCCCGGCAUUUCACAGGCCUUCCUCACUUACUUUC
rnacentral:lncRNA from 1 species